UGGUGCUCCUGUUCAUGUACUUACUGGUCCGGUUUCGGUUGGUCAGGGACAUCGGGAUGAUGAUGCUUCUGCUCAGGGACUUACUGGUCCGGUUCCGGUUGGUGAGGGACAUUGGGAUGAUGGUGCUUCUGCUCAGGGACUUACUGGUCCGGUUCCGGUUGGUGAGGGACAUCAAUAUGAUGGUGAAAUCGUAAUAGAUAUCGACAACGAAUGAACUGUUUGAAUGGGCUUGUGUUUCCUUUUUGAUAUGUUUAACAGACAAUUUUAGUUUGAUAUUAGGUGUGUUUGAUAUAUUUAAGAGACAAUUUUAUUUUGAUAUUAGGUAUGUUGAUAUUAGUUGUGAGUUCCUCUCUUAUUGUUGUGUCUCAAACUGAUGAACGGAGUGGAUUCGUCAUUC